GGCGGGAGACGCGGAGGAUCUUACGAGUUUACACUCCCAAACCCAAUGUGAACGUUACCAAACUGUUGCCUCGGCGGGGUCACGCCCCGGGUGCGUCGCAGCCCCGGAACCAGGCGCCCGCCGGAGGAACCAACCAAACUCUUUCUGUAGUCCCCUCGCGGACGUAUUUCUUACAGCUCUGAGCAAAAAUUCAAAAUGAAUCAAAACUUUCAACAACGGAUCUCUUGGUUCUGGCAUCGAUGAAGAACGCAGCGAAAUGCGAUAAGUAAUGUGAAUUGCAGAAUUCAGUGAAUCAUCGAAUCUUUGAACGCACAUUGCGCCCGCCAGUAUUCUGGCGGGCAUGCCUGUCCGAGCGUCAUUUCAACCCUCGAACCCCUCCGGGGGAUCGGCGUUGGGGAUCGGGACCCCUCACACGGGUGCCGGCCCCGAAAUACAGUGGCGGUCUCGCCGCAGCCUCUCCUGCGCAGUAGUUUGCACAACUCGCACCGGGAGCGCGGCGCGUCCACGUCCGUAAAACACCCAACUUUCUGAAAUGUUGACCUCGGAUCAGGUAGGAAUUGCAC
rnacentral:rRNA from 1 species